rnacentral:rRNA from 1 species
UACGUAGGGUGCAAGCGUUGUCCGGAAUUAUUGGGCGUAAAGAGCUCGUAGGCGGUCUGUCGCGUCGGCUGUGAAAUCCCGAGGCUCAACCUCGGGUCUGCAGUCGAUACGGGCAAACUAGAGUAUUGCAGGGGAGACUGGAAAUCCUGGUGUAGCGGUGAAAUGCGCAGAUAUCAGGAGGAACACCGGUGGCGAAGGCGGGUCUCUGGGCAAUAACUGACGCUGAGGAGCGAAAGCGUGGGGAGCGAACAGG